rnacentral:pre_miRNA from 1 species
GGAAUAUAAGAAACUGUUUCUUAAUUUUUAACUAAAAAGUUAAGAAACUGUUUUUUAAAGUACUUAAGAAACAAUUUUUUAACUUUUUAGUUAAAAAUUAAGAAACCGUUUCUUAUAUUCC